rnacentral:lncRNA from 1 species
AAUUGAAGUGAUCCUGCAAGCCCAAAAAAUUAUUCACUUAAUUUCCACCUCCCCCCUCCUCCACCAAAAAAAUGAAUAGAUGUGAAUUAUGUACUUAAAAAUUUGACGGUAGCUGCACUUCUUGGAAGCUUUUUUCAAGGCAAAUAAUAAUCAAGAUUUGCAAGGCGCAAAAGAGUUCCAAUGAACGAUGGGGCGGAAUGGUCUUUGAAAAACCAAAAUUUUGGCGAAUCUCAGUAAGUGACAAUCGAGACCAUUUUUCAAAAGUAACUUAGCAACAUUGAAGAUUCAGAUAAAACGAAUGAAGGACGCUCUUGAGCUUGAAGAAAAACCGUGCUUAAUACGGUGAUGGUUGCUUCGCGUCUGUGCCCUAGGUGACAUCACGAGUAUUAGACGCACAUAAUUGUCAUUGUUUUACACAUCAUUUGCUUCUCUGAGUUCUUCUAGCGCCAUAAUUUUCCUCUCUAAUGUUGUCUGUAGACUCGCAGUGACGUAAAUAUAACGACUGCCGAAUAGAGACUGCCGCCAUCCUGUGUGAUUCUUGUUUGCGAAGAGAACUAUGUAUCUUAUGUCUGAUCGUCAGUGCCAGCUCUUUUCCCUGUAAUCUCAAACUUUUCGAUCUCCGUUUAAGUAGUAACAUUUCAACGUUCCAUGUCUAUUUCUUAUGUUCAAGUUUGCAUUUUUUUCUUUAAAUAAUUGGUAAGAAUUCAACAUCUCAACAGCUGUUAUCUUUGAAUCUUCUGUCUUAAUCUUCGUGAUUCAGCAGUAAAAAGACUUCGCCAUUAAUCGAGCAAUAUGGGAAAUAAUCUACGAUCAUCGAUUUCUUUCCGUACCCAUCAAAUUUUGCUCAGAAAACGAAUUCAAAGCAGCUUAUUAUCGGAUGAGCGCAGAAUAAACCUUUUACAGAUGUAUGGAGUUGUAACGGCUCAAAAAGAGUUGACGUCUAAUAUGGCUGACGCACUCAAAUUUAUAAAAACCAUACACAAUCACAAAAUAGAGGACAUUGAGUGGGAUUUAAUUGGUUAAGCUUCAGUAAGCUUAAGUAUAGGUAUAUAUACAUGGGUAUUAUGUCAGCCUAAAAAUUUUUUUAGGCGACUCAACAUAAACUUCAUUUUAUAAUUUUCUGUGAAUCCAAGAGGUAGGAAUAAUUGUUUGCUUAAACUUAACUUAAGAACAUAAAAAUCGUUUUCCUUUUUUUAAGUAUUUGGAAUAUCGAAAUUUUUUUUCCGUGUAAAUUGCGCUUUUUGUGUAACAAUUAAUUAAAGGACUGUUAAUACAAUAAAUGACCUGAUUUGGAUACAAAAUUGGAAUCCAAUUUUCUACUCUUUUUUCUAUCCUCUUGUUUCGAAGCAACAUAAUCCAUAAUUAACUUUUGCAAUGAUUGAAAUUAAUCCGCAUGAGUGUGCGGGCCUCAGCACCAU